rnacentral:lncRNA from 1 species
UUUGGAUGCUUCGGUGGGUUUGAAGGGGGAAGAGAAGUAUAGCUGAGAUAGAAGGCAGAUAUGCUGCCCAUUGCCAUUUUCUUCUCUAAUACUUAUUUUUUUGUACUUGAAAAUUUUCUAGUAAGUGAGAUGAGCGUUCAAGUUUCUCAACUUGGUGGUACUGUCUAGUCUCGAAAAAAUUUUAAGGUGGGCAGGAAUGCGUAACUUCUUUUGUAUUUUUGUGGGGAAGAGUUGCCUUUUUAGAUAUUUGUGAUAUGCUUUUCAUUGCCAGUGGACCCAACACCUCAAACUGAUAGCUUGUUCUUUUAUUUUUCUGAAAGGACUUCUUUGCAUCCAUCUAAUUCUAAUGUCUUGAAACUUCAUGUCUUCUCAGGGAGACCUCUCAAUAGAAUUUCAGAUCAAGUUUUUACGACACAAGGUCUAGAUUGGUUUGUAACCAGAGGAG